CCGGGGCUAAUACCGGAUAGUUCUUUUUUUCGUAUGAUGAAAAGUGGAGAGGUGGCUUCUGCUACCACUUACUGAUGGAGCCGCGGCGCAUUAUCUAGUUGGUGAGGUAACGGCUCACCAAGGCGACGAUGCGUAGCCGACCUGAUAGGGUGAUCGGCCACCCUGGGACUGAUACACGGCCCACACUCCUACGGGAGGCAGCAGUAGGGAAUCUUCCUCAAUGGAGGAAAGUCUGACGGAGCAACGCCGCGUGAGUGAUGAAGGUUUUCGGAUCAUAAAGCUCUGUUGUUAGGGAAGAACAAGUGCCGUUCGAAUAGGGCGGCACCUUGACGGUACCUAACCAGAAAGCCACGGCUAACUACUUGCCACCAGCCGCGGUAAUACGUAGGUGGCGAGCGUUGUCCGGAAUUAUUGGUCGUAAAGCGCGCGCAGGCGGUCUCUU
rnacentral:rRNA from 1 species